rnacentral:rRNA from 1 species
AACGAACGCUGGCGGCAGGCUUAACACAUGCAAGUCGAACGCCCCGCAAGGGGAGUGGCAGACGGGUGAGUAACGCGUGGGAAUCUACCCAGAUCUUCGGAACAACUGAGGGAAACUUCAGCUAAUACCGGAUACGCCCUACGGGGGAAAGAUUUAUCGGUUCUGGAUGAGCCCGCGUUGGAUUAGCUAGUUGGUGAGGUAAUGGCUCACCAAGGCGACGAUCCAUAGCUGGUCUGAGAGGAUGAUCAGCCACACUGGGACUGAGACACGGCCCAGACUCCUACGGGAGGCAGCAGUGGGGAAUAUUGGACAAUGGGCGAAAGCCUGAUCCAGCCAUGCCGCGUGAGUGAUGAAGGCCUUAGGGUUGUAAAGCUCUUUCAGUAGGAAGAUAAUGACGGUACCUACAGAAGAAGCCCCGGCUAACUUCGUG